rnacentral:rRNA from 1 species
CACGUAUGGGGCAAGCGUUGUUCGGAUUUAUUGGGUGUAAAGGGCGCGUAGGCGGUCUCGCAAGCCCGGUGUGAAAUUCCUCAGCUCAACUGAGGACACGCGCUGGGAACUGCGAGGCUAGAGUUCGAGAAGGGAGACUGGAAUUCCUGGUGUAGGGGUGAAAUCUGUAGAUAUCAGGAAGAACACCGGUGGCGAAGGCGAGUCUCUGGCUCUGAACUGACGCUGAGGCGCGAAAGCGUAGGGAG